GCAGAGCUGCUUGUAGCUGUCACAAAGACAUCAACUGAAUUUGUACAGUAAUGCAAGAUAAUUCCACAUUCUACUCUACUGGAAAACAUGGUACCUUCAGGUAUUCCUAGACACAGUGCUGAGAGAUAAAGAAACCAGAAUCAGACACGAUGGUAUACGGCACCCAUCAGUGGUAUACUCUGCAUGUGACAGGUAGCCAGAUACUUGAGGCACAGAAGAACCCUUAUUUUGGGCCUGGAUUAUCAAGAAGAAGAUGUGUGACCAUUCUAGUGACUGAAAGCCACAGAUACCGGAAGACUUUGCUGCAGAGAAGAACAUUGCCUACAGGUCUUGCAGAAUGUUGUGUUGGUGGCAUACAGCACUGGUGUGCCCUUAACUGUCCCUGUGGAUAGUGUUUGUGUUGUUUUGAAAAUAAAGUUUUGCAUCUGGCAUGGUUUUUUUUUUCC
rnacentral:lncRNA from 1 species